UUUCACUUUUAAAUUUCAAUUUCUAUUAAAAAAAAUUCUCUUCUCUUCUCGAUUAUUCUUCAUUCACACCCAAAUCUCCAAUUUUUCUUCCUCAGAUCAUGCAUCCUAGUUCAUUUCUUCUCUCUUCAAGCCUUAUUUUAAUGGGCUUCCUUCAACUUUGCGAAAUUUGGGAUAUUUUUCAACAAAUUGGAGUUUUUCAGCCAACCUAAGAUCGAAACGGAGCAUUUAAACGCAACUGAAUGAUGAAAAGACAAAAAUGCCACUGGGCGCAGCAUAGCAAUGGCAUGCUUUACACUUUGCCUUACGCUUGAACCUCUUUCCUCAUCUUUCUUUGUCUAUGGAGAUUUAAGAUAAGUGUUAAUCCAGUUUUGUAGUAAACCUAUGUAAUUAUUUGCAUUUUAUUUUUGUAUAAAUUCUAUAUUAUGAUCUAUGCCUCUGUGAAUCUGUUUAAAUUUCUUGAUGUAUAAUUUUGGAUGGAUUGACACCCCUACCUUUGGUUGUAUGUCAUUGCUAAUCAAUUUAAUAGCUUGCA